CUGGGAUUACAGGGCAUUCAAGCAGCCCUGAGGAGAGGUCCACAUGGUGAGCCACUGAGGGCCUUGCCAAGAGCCAGCACCAACGGUCCAGGUUUGGAGUGUACCACCUUGGAAGUGAAUCUUCCAGUCCAGUCAAGCCUUCAGAUGACUUCAGAACCGUCCAUGUAAGCCACUCUUGGAUUCCUGACCCACAGAAACUGUUGGAGGCAUUAUCAACAGUUUCUAACAUCACAGACAGACAAACAUGUGCCUCCUGAUUGAAAAAACAGAACAUCACCUGUAGUCUUGCCAGUGAGAUCAAACUGAAGUCCAAUUAACCUCUGGAUCCAGCUGCCAAUUUGCAGGAAAUAGAGGAGAGAAGCAUCUGUUGAACUGCACCAUGAGUAUACACUCAGCAAAGGCCAAACUGUGGAAAAUGAUACAGGUCAAACAGCCUGGAUUCUUUAACAGGUAAAUUGUAAGGAAAAGAAGGGGCUGAAGGGGAAAACUUUAUAUUGAAAGAGACUUAAAUGAAAUUUUU
rnacentral:lncRNA from 1 species